AUCCCAUUAUGUCGCUUCUCAGAACAACUAGCAGGCUGUUUCCCCAGCUAAUCCAGUGGCAAAACAGCUGCAGCUAGGAUUUGGGAUUUUUCUUGGAUGAAUCCUCCUUUGUUUUUAAGGUCUAAGUUUGAGGAGGAUCCGUAGGAGUUUUUGGGUAUGGUGCAGAAGGUGACAGAGAUCAUGGUUAUCACUUCUAGUGAGAGUGAAAACUUAGCUGCAUAUUAGUUACAG
rnacentral:lncRNA from 1 species